UAAAGUGAUUGUGGGCGGUACCAGGAGAGCACAGAGGACACUUCAGCAUCUGCUGAAGUUACUCUUUUUGGCAAAGGGGAGACCCAAGAGACCCGUGCCGCCGCCACCAUGUUGAUAAAGCUGGGUGAAACUCACUUUUUCUUCCUGAAGUUUACAAGCAGGAAGGGAAUACUUCGUAUGUUCAGAAAGUCCAUCUGCAGUUAACAUCCGGACUUUUCAUUUAUAUUCGAUCUAAUCCAUGGUAUUUUUAUUCUGAUCAGUGUUAACCAGAUGAGCCAUGUGCACUGAGGAAUGAUUAGCCCAAAGUAGGACAGAAGAGAAUCUGAAAAGUAGCCUUUCCACCUGCCCCCGGCUCUGCCCUAGAAAACAGUCAGUCAGCAGCACUUCCUAGAAACCACGGAGACAGAAGUUACGCUGCACCGUCUUCAGCCGCAGGAAUCCUGAAUUGGUUCUUUGUACAAGAUCAUCCGUUAAACGCCAAAGCCUCAGUGCCCUCGAUGGAUCAUUCACUCCCACUAAAUGCCUUAGAAAUGGAAAUUCCAGAACUUCCAGAACUAUGUUGAAUAAGAGUGGCAAGAAUGGACAUCCUGGUCUUGCUCCUGAUCUUAGAGGAAAUGCUUUCAACUUUUCACCAUUGGGAGUAUGAUGUUAGCUGUGGGCUUGUCAUAUAUGGCCUUUAUUAUGUUGAGAGGAACUUGACCACCUGCUAUAUAGAUGUCAUUAUCGGGAGUUACAACGGUCCCAACCUUAUGU